UACGAAGGGGGCUAGCGUUGUUCGGAUUUACUGGGCGUAAAGGGCGCGUAGGCGGUUUUGUAAGUCAGGCGUGAAAGCCCCGGGCUCAACCCGGGAAUUGCGCUUGAUACUGCGGAACUUGAAUCCAGGAGAGGAUGGCGGAAUUCCCAGUGUAGAGGUGAAAUUCGUAGAUAUUGGGAAGAACACCGGUGGCGAAGGCGGCUCACUGGCUCG
rnacentral:rRNA from 1 species